rnacentral:rRNA from 1 species
GAUGAACGCUGGCGGCGUGCCUAAUACAUGCAAGUCGAGCGAACUGAUUAGAAGCUUGCUUCUAUGACGUUAGCGGCGGACGGGUGAGUAACACGUGGGCAACCUGCCUGUAAGACUGGGAUAACUUCGGGAAACCGAAGCUAAUACCGGAUAGGAUCUUCUCCUUCAUGGGAGAUGAUUGAAAGAUGGUUUCGGCUAUCACUUACAGAUGGGCCCGCGGUGCAUUAGCUAGUUGGUGAGGUAACGGCUCACCAAGGCAACGAUGCAUAGCCGACCGGAGAGGAUGGUCGGCCACACGGGGGCUGCGACCAGGGCCAGACUCCUACGGGAGGCAGCAGUAGGGAAUCGUCCGCAAUGGACGAAAGUCUGACGGAGCAACGCAGCGUGAGUGAUGAAGGCUUUCGGGUCGUAAAACUCUGUUGUUAGGGAAGAAUAAGUACAAGAGUAACUGCUUGUACCUUGACGGUACCUAACCAGAAAGCCACGGCUAACUACGUGCCAGCCGCCGCAGUAAUAC